rnacentral:lncRNA from 1 species
UGUUCCCAUGUUCCCUUUCCAUGUUCCCACGUUCCCAUGUUCCCACAUUUCCACAUUUCCACCUUCCCAUGUUUCCAGACCCCACCUUCCCACCUUCCCACAUCUCCACAUUUCCACAUCCCACCUCCCCACCCCCCCAAACCCCCCCUCACCUCGGGCUGACCACAUCCUGCGGUGCCUGGAACCACUCCUGCAAUUUACUCUCCAGCCCCACUCCCACCUUAACCAGGUAGGAGCUGGGAUCCACGCAGCAGGCCCAGUAGCUCCUGCCCUGCGUCACGGCCACGUCUCCGAUCACCACCUCGACGGAGAGGUGGCAGCUGCUCAGCAGCCUUUCGGCAGCGAAAAGCAUCGGGACCCCCGGCACGCUGCGCACCGCGCGCUGGUCCUUACUGAUGGCCAGCCGGUCCCGAUUGAAACCCCAGCGGUUGUCCAGGAAGAAAUUGAGGACUGCAAUGAGGAGGGGGGGGGAAGGGGGUGGUGAGAGAUGUGAUGUGGGAAUGGGGGAUGGGGGGAGCUGAGCCCCUUUGAUGUGACCUGGUACCCAUCUGUAGGGUGGCAUCCUGCAUAUAGAAGUAGGGGAGGGGUCCUAAGGAGCACAGGGAUGCUCAGAGGAUGGAGGAGGAGGAGGAGGAAGGAGGAGGACAGUGAUGUGGGAAUGGGGGUAGGGGGAGCUGAGCCCCCUUUUGCCCAUUUGUAGGGUGGCAUCCUGCAUAUGGAGGUAGGGGAGGGGUCCUAAGGGGUGCAGGGAUGCUCAGAGGAUGGAGGAGGAGGAGGAGGAGGAGGAGGAGGAGGAGGAGGAAGGAGGAGCUGUGCUUUGGGUCGUGCUUUUGGGCAUCUGCUGGUCCUUACUGAUGGCCAGCCCCCUAAACCCUCCCAAUCCCCCCCAGCCCCCCCCCAAAGCCCUCCCUAAACCCCCCCAAAGUC